rnacentral:lncRNA from 1 species
CUCCCUACUGGCCGCUCGAAGCUUGAAGCUGCAGUUCACUUUCGCGAAUGUAAGGAACCCAGCUUCUGUGUGGUGGGCACUGAGAGCAGAACCGCAUUGAGUCGGAGUGGAGCACAGAAGUGUAGGUCCUUUUGCGCUGUUUCAAGCUAAACCCGUGUCACUGAUGCCGUACAGAAGUUACAGAAUGGGACGCCACCCCAAACAUUACGUCAUCCGCUGACCAUUUCCUUGCGGUCUUCCCACCGUCUAAAUCGCCAUAUAAUCUGAUGGAUGGGGUCCUCGCGCGGUUCAGCUCCUGGGCGACAGCGUAACGAGUCCCAGGACACCGGAACCAGGACUCCCCGGCGCACCCGGAGAGUUUCCGAGCUCCUUUGAAGUAUGAAUCAGAACUUCUGGAUGGGAAUCCUGGAGCCACCACUUGCCCUAUGGUCGCAAUGGGCAAGUCGCUCAACCUCCCAGAUCCUGUUUUCUCAUGAGUAAAACGGGGAUUAUAAUACCCACCUGACAAUAUUAUUUUUGUGAGAAUUAAAUGAGUUUAGAAUGU